ACCAUUGCCGAAGGAAGAAAAACCCUAGCCGCUGCCUGCGCCAAAGUCCUAUUUAAGCAUCAUCUGUUCAGCGCCUCCGGGUAAUGUUUAGGAUCGAUCUUCAGGAGCUCUAUUUAAUCCUUGAUCCGUCCACCUCGUCUUUGAUUCGGUUAUACUAGGUAUCAUCUUAAUAGCAUAAAUAUGCCGCCGCUCAAUUGAUUUCCUCCAGUUACAGAUAAUAAUGUCUGUAAAUGUGGAGUAUGAAGCUAGUGUUAUGGUUCACCACGACGGCUGUUCUGUCGACAGCCCUUAUUGAAUAUGCUCGUUGAUGGAUUUUGGUCAACGUUAUGUGAGCUUGCUAGUUUCACCGCAUGUUUUUGUUUCGGUUGACUUAGCUGUAGGAGUUACAACGAGAUAUCUUCCUGAAAGUAUUUGACUAUGGGACCUAAGGGUUAUUAGUUAGUUUUCGGACAUGGGAGGCUGAGAUGUAGUUAGUUUUCAAUUUUAAACGACCUUAACAACCAUAGAGUAAUAGAUCACUUCCACUCGCAGGACGUGUAUGAAUUUGCUUCUACUACUAGUGUUCAAUGUGGUCUUCAAAUGUUAUAGGGUAUUAAUCACUUCCAAGAUAUAUAAUCAUAGCAUAUUGGACGAGUGGAAGGUUUCAUUUGUUUUUUCCUUUUCUAAAAUAAAAAUGGUGCUCUAUUACAAUGUUUUA